rnacentral:tRNA from 1 species
GCGCCCUUAGCUCAGUUGGUAGAGCAGCUCAUUUACACUGAGAAGGUCGGGGGUUCAAAUCCCUCAGGGCGCACCG